rnacentral:rRNA from 1 species
AAUAUUGGACAAUGGGCGAAAGCCUGAUCCAGCCAUGCCGCGUGAGUGAAGAAGGUCAACGGAUUGUAAAGCACUUGAAGUUGGGAGGAAGGGCAGUAAGUUAAUACCUUGCUGUUUCGACGUUACCGACAGACUAAGCACCGGCUAACUUAGUACCAGCAGCCGCGGUAAUACGAAGGGUGCAAGCGUUAAUCAGAAUUACUGGGCGUAAAGCGAGCGUAGUUGGUUCGUUAAGUUGGGUGUGAUGGCUCCGGGCUCAACGUGGGAACUGCAGCCAAACCGGGCGUGCUAUAGUACGGUAGAGGGUGGUGGAAUUUCCUGUGUAGCGGUGAAAAGCGUAGAUAUAGGAAGGCACACCAGUGGCGAAGGCGACCACCUGGACUGAUAAUGACACUAAGGUGCGAAAGAGUAGGGAGCAAACAGG